UACGUAGGGGGCUAGCGUUGUCCGGAAUUACUGGGCGUAAAGCGUGCGUAGACGGUUACAUAAGUCGGGUGUGAAAGCCCCGGGCUCAACCUGGGAAUUGCAUUCGAGACUGCGUAGCUAGGGUGCGGAAGAGGGAAGCGGAAUUUCCGGUGUAGCGGUGAAAUGCGUAGAUAUCGGAAGGAACACCAGUGGCGAAAGCGGCUUCCUGGUCCAGCACCGACGUUCAGGCACGAAAGCGUGGGGAGCAAACAGG
rnacentral:rRNA from 1 species